rnacentral:rRNA from 1 species
UACGUAGGUGGCAAGCGUUGUCCGGAAUUAUUGGGCGUAAAGCGCGCGCAGGCGGUUUCUUAAGUCUGAUGUGAAAGCCCACGGCUCAACCGUGGAGGGUCAUUGGAAACUGGGGAACUUGAGUGCAGAAGAGAAAAGCGGAAUUCCACGUGUAGCGGUGAAAUGCGUAGAGAUGUGGAGGAACACCAGUGGCGAAGGCGGCUUUUUGGUCUGUAACUGACGCUGAGGCGCGAAAGCGUGGGGAGCAAACAGG